GGUAUUUUGACUAUACGAAGGUAUUGAAAUAAGAUUUUAAAUGAGUGCUAAGAGAAUGAUUAAACAAUUAAAAGCUUUCUUUAAUUGAAUAAUUGAAUUUAAUUUUUUAGUGCAAAAGCAAAAAUAAAAAUUAGGGACAAGAAGACCCUAUGAAUUUUUUAUUAAAUUUUAUAAAACUUUAUAUAAAAUUUAAUUUAAUUGGGGUGAUGGAAAAAGAAUAAAUAUCUUUUUUUAAAAAAAAAUUGGUUCCGUUUUUAGCGAUUAAAUGAAAAAAAUACUCUAGGGAUAACAGCGUAAUAAUUUUGGAUAGUUCAUAUAGAUAAAAUAGUUUGCGACCUCGAUGUUGGAUUAGGAUUCUUUUUUGGUGAAGAAGU
rnacentral:rRNA from 1 species